rnacentral:rRNA from 1 species
AUGUACAUGCCUACAACAUAGCGCUAAUGCACUGGAUCUCAGUAGAACUUUGCAGUUAAAGCACACUCAGGAUAGAGUAGUAUUGUGAUGGGUGAACUCUCGGGAAGUCCUAGUGUUUUACAUU